UACGUAGGGUGCAAGCGUUGUCCGGAAUUAUUGGGCGUAAAGAGCUCGUAGGCGGUCUGUUGCGUCGGCUGUGAAAACCCGGGGCUCAACUCCGGGCCUGCAGCCGAUACGGGCAGACUAGAGUUCGGCAGGGGAGACUGGAAUUCCUGGUGUAGCGGUGAAAUGCGCAGAUAUCAGGAGGAACACCGGUGGCGAAGGCGGCACUCUGGGCCGGUACUGACGCUGAGGAGCGAAAGCGUGGGGAGCAAACAGG
rnacentral:rRNA from 1 species